rnacentral:rRNA from 1 species
AAAGGAAUUGACGGGGGCCCGCACAAGCGGCGGAGCAUGCGGCUUAAUUCGAUGCAACGCGAAGAACCUUACCUGGGCUUGACAUAUAGGGAAAUCUCAUAGAGAUAUGAGGUCCGCAAGGGUCCUAUACAGGUGGUGCAUGGCUGUCGUCAGCUCGUGUCGUGAGAUGUUGGGUUAAGUCCCGCAACGAGCGCAACCCUCGUUCUAUGUUGCCAGCACGUAAUGGUGGGGACUCAUAGGAGACUGCCGGGGUCAACUCGGAGGAAGGUGGGGAUGACGUCAAGUCAUCAUGCCCCUUAUGUCCAGGGCUGCACGCAUGCUACAAUGGCGAGUACAAAGGGCUGCGAUACCGCAAGGUGGAGCGAAUCCCAUAAAGCUCGUCUCAGUUCGGAUUGGGGUCUGCAACUCGACCCCAUGAAGUCGGAGUCGCUAGUAAUCGCAGAUCAGCAACGCUGCGGUGAAUACGUUCCCGGGCCUUGUACACACCGCCCGU